rnacentral:lncRNA from 1 species
UACCGGUUCGCUUUGCGCCCUCCUCCUCCUCCCGCGAACGGGGCUCCGGCGCUCCCACAAUGCACCGGGCGCGGCCGGGCUCCCUUAAGCGUCGCCUGAAUAAAAAUGCCGCUCCCGGCGGCGGAGGGCGGGAGGGCCCGGGCCGCGCCUGGGCGCCGCGGGGGCUCGGCCUGGCUCGGCGGGCCCCUGCCGGGAACGGGGCCGCCGCGCUCCGCCGUGCGCCGCGCGCGAGGGGCCUUUAAGGGCCGGCUACCUCCCUUUAAGAGGCGGCGGGCCGCGGCCGGAGCGGCUCGGUGGCUGCGUGCGGCCCGGGAAGGGGGCGGGGGCGAUGUGCAGGCCCGAGCGCGGCAAUGAUUGGUCUCGGGGGAGGGGUGGGGGGUUGCAAACCCGAGGAGCGGUGGCAUCCGUUGCAUGAUGCAAAAAGGAUUGAUUUCAAAAGUUGCGAGUUGCAUUGGCAGCAGCCUUUGGCGCCCAGGCCACCUACUUUUCCUUGACCCGCUGGAAGGGCCGGGAAUGUUUUCCCGAACCUGCCCGGGCUCAACCGCGCUACGCUCUGCGGGACGCUGUACCUGCUCCCCGAGCGCUCGCGUCGCGUUGUCCUGGAAGACAAUGAGCGUGGAAACAAUUUGAAAAAGACAGGGAGCAGAGGAAAGACCCGGAGCAGUGUAGCCGCCUCUGCUACACUGAAAGAUUUAAAAACAACCGGCGCGAUUGAUUAAUAAUGACUUCCAUGUCUCUUCCCUUCUAUUGUUUAGCCCGGCUCGGGAGUUAAGAUGAGCCUUGAUGAAUAUGCAAACGUCCUGCAGUUUCUGGAACCUUUAAUGUGCUUGGUAGGAAGUCAGAGCUUAAGGUUCCUCAGUUACAUUGUUUGCUCUCCACAUGUCCAAGUAAACAUGGCAGCCUAAUAGCGUAUGGGUUCGAAUUAACACCGAUAGGAGAGCUUCGGCUUGUGAAAUUACUUUUUCCAGGUUUUCAACUUCCUAAUGCACUGCUGGUUGAAAUAAAGCGAAAAUGCUUUCGUACUGCAUCACUUAGGGCUUCCCUUAAAACCGAGGAGUGUGGAGGAACGCCAACCAAACUUUUCCAGAGUGGUGCAGCGUUGUCCAAAUGUAUUUCUGAGCAGAACUGUUGUUGGUAACCGAACGGUGCUUUAGGUUGCGCGUCAGCUUUGCGGGCUGCGCAGAUGCCUUUUUAAUUCUUUAAAAUUUCUGCUUGACAUUCCCCCAGGGUUUUUAUCUAAGUGAGGAUCCAAAAAGUGAUGCAACCUAGAAGACCAGGUUGAUAGCAGCUUCUCCACGCUGUGUCCUUUCUCUGUACUACCGUAAGUUAGGAAAGAAUGUGGUCGCCUGGGUUCUUUAAUGUGAUUUAUGGACUCUUGUAAGAAUGGCAUCACCUUGUGGUUGACAAACCUGCAUUUGCCUCUGAAUCACCUGGGAAGACAGGUCCACACAACCCCAGGCAACACUCCAGACUCCGGCAUCAAGGAAGAAGGAUAUGUUGAAGUCCUAACCUCGAGUACCUAUGAAUGGGGCCUUAUUUGGAAAGAAGAUCCUUGCAGAUGUAAUCAAGUUAAGAUGAAGUCAUACUGGAUUAGGAUGGGCCCUAAAUCCAAUGAGCUAUAACAAAAGGAAGAUUUGGAGACAGAGACCCAGGGAAGAAGGCCACAUGAAGAUGAGGCAGAGAUUGGAGUCAGGCAGCUACAAGCCAAGGAACACCGAGGAUUACUGGCGACCACCAGAAGUAGGAAGAUACCCUCCCAGAAACAUCAGAGAGGCCAUGGCCCUGCCAACACCUUGAUUUGUGACUUCCGGCCUGCUGAGCUGUGAGAGAAUACAUUUCUGUUGUUUUACGCCACCCAGUCUGUGGUAUGUGUUACAGCAGCCACAGGAAACCAAUAUAGCGUGUCUGAGGUGUACGUUGGGGGACGAGGUGCUAAGAAUCCAUGCUUUGGAUGGGCUCACCUGGUGGUGGUGGUGCUUUAGGGGAACACUGCACUAAAGAAUGCUGCUUUCUCAGAAACCCAGAGGGCAGGAGGCUGCCCGUUCAUCUGCUUCCCACGUUCUGCUAGCUUCGGUGACGUUACUUUCCCUCUGUCCUGCCUUUCUCAUGUCCCGCCUGUCUUUCGGGUUCUUGCUAUCCAGCGUUACACCAUCUGAUGCCACACUGGUCACUUCCUUACGUUGUUUGAGUCAUGCUCAUUCAGAUAUGGCCCCUGAUCUGUGAUCAUGGGGGGUGGUGGGAGUGUCCAAUCAGAGCUAAGACCCGGUGGGCAAUGGACACAUCAUAUUAUUAAAUUUAGCUUUACUCCACAUAAGCUGCCCAUUCUCGUGGCUAUACUGUGAACCUCCUCAUUCCUAGAAAUCUUAAACACCAACAUCCUGUCUUCAAUCCUAUAGUCCUCUCAUUGCUUUACUCCCUGACACCUGCACAUCAACUGCAUAGUGGCCGCCAGUCUCUCUCCUUCCAUCCAGCCUGGAUCCCUUGGUCAGCUCAGCAGCCUGGUCCCCUGCACCUCCCCUUCUUUGACCACACCCACCCACAAACAUGCAGCCUUAGGUCCCUCCCACCUGCCAUGUUCUCUGCCCUUUUGCUGGGCUGGAGAAAACGUAGAACUUGGAGACCAUGCCAUUACAGAUGUGUGAUCUCCAGUGCCACCUGGGCCUUUCUGACAGCUGGAAAAUCCUUAAGUAUGUUAUUCCUAAUGUUCGUUAUUCUCCCCGAAGUUUAUACCACAGUUUACUGCCCUCAGUGGCAGAUGCAUCUCAAGAAGAAAAUGUACACCAUGGGAGGGAGCCUCCAACUUUCCCAUACCGUUCCCAUCCCACCCCUUGGACCAGCACGCCAGUGUCUGGGAGGGAGGACCACUUCUGAAUGUCCAAGGCUGGUCCCCUGCCUGUGCUCCAGCUGCCACCCUUCCAACAAUAGCUAACUUUUGUUGAGGACUUGCUACGUAUCUACGUAUGUAUCCCACUGUACAGAGUGUUUUCUGACCAUCACCUCUUAGAAUUCUGGCAACAUCCCCUUGAGGUAAGUCCUAUUGUAUAUUUUCCUUUCCUGGAGGAAAGCAGGGCUCAGACUGAUUAAGCAGCUUGCCCAAAGUCACUGUCUUACUUUGGGUCCCCCCCCCCAACCCGGGCAGAACUGGAGACAAGGACUUGGGGGAAGGAAGUCUUCAGAAGGUAGUUUCAGGAAGCACAAGUCAAGAAGUGGGCAAAAUAAGACAGGAAAGGGAGAAAGCCAAAAAGCAUGUAAAUGAUUAGGUUAGCACAGUGGGUAGUGGGGCUCAGCCCUGUUGGCGCCUCUCUCAGAAACUGUGUGGAACCCCCUCUGGUUGGCGGAAUAAUGCACCUCCUGCCCCCAGAAGAUUGUCUAUGUCCCAUUCCCCGGAACCUGUGAAUAUAUUAUGUUCCAAGGUAAAGAGGAAUUGAGUUUGCUAAUCAGUUAACCUUAAGGAGAUUAUUCUGGGUUAUAUGGGUGGGCCCAGUGUAUCCACAAGCGUCCUUAAAAGUGGAAGAGGGAAUAGAGAACAGAGCGAUGUCAGCCUGAGAAGGAUCUGGCCCGACAUCGCCGGCUUUGAAGAUGGAGGAAGGGGCAUGAAUCAAAGAAAACAGGAGCCUUCUGGAAGCUGGAAAAGCAGCAAUAGAAAACGAAUACAUCUCCUUAAAAUCACGCCACUGGCAGGCUGGAAGGCUGAGGCACUCAUCCAUGGACUCUCAUCUUUCAUUGGCUGAGGGUUGCCCCUGGGGCAGUGGACGGAGACUCAGAACUUCCUGCCCUGGAGAAGCAGCCCUGGAGGACCAGGCAGGCAGGUGAUGGAGGUGGAACACUGCCAGUGGGCUGGAAACUCUCCCCAACGCUUCAGGUGAAACCAGAAGCAGGCUGGGCAUUGAUGGUGUCGACAGCCUCUGCCACAGGGCCCAGCUGUAAGCAGUCAAGCCAGGAUUGGAACGGGGUUAAGUGUGGAGCCCACGUGCCUAGCCUAGGACUUCCCUGUGGCAUUUGAGGCCAUGACAUAGGAGGCUCAAGGGCUAUUUCUACUAGACAGUGCUAUUCCGGAGGACUCCCCCAUCCCCAGAGCCCCAGACACAGACAUUCACCACUUAGGUGGCUCUCGUUGCCUCUGGCUCCACUUUUCCAGUUGCGGUUCUCACUCAUGGGUGUGCACGGAUGAUCGUAGGUGGUAUGUGGAAGAACAUUAAUUUGUAUAGUCACAUGUUCGUUGUAACACACAUUGAGAAGAUUUAACUGACAUAUAAAACCUGUGAUUUCAUGGACAUUAUUAUUUAGGACAAAAAGGGAGUCAACUUAAAGAAAAAUUUAAAGAAACAAGAGCACAGCCUAAAGUGAUAGCAUUGGUCAAGUAAAUAAUAGCUACAGGAUAAAUUUCAGAAAAAUACAAACAACCUGCAUGAUCCAGCUUCUCCUUUUCCUCUCUGAUCUGAUCUCCGGAAGGUGCCCGCUUUCUCUUCUUCAGCCACACAGCCAUACUGAGUGCAUCCACACCCCCAGGCUCACCUGCUCUUUCUCCACUUUGCGUCUUGGCAAGCACCAUAUCUUUGCUUGUACCACCUCGUCUCCCUUUCUGGCAAAGGAAAACCAAACUUGUAAGAUUCUGCUCCAAGAGCCUUCCCUCUGAAGAGUUCUCUGGCUACUUCGGGGGAACAACCACCCCAUCUGUGGUAGGCAGAAUAAUGGCCCCUCAAAGAUGUCCACAUCCUAAUCACCCAUGAAUAUGUUACCUUGCGCGGCAAAAGGGACUUUGCAGAUGUGACUAAGUUAAGGAGUUUUUGAUGAGAAGAUUAUCCUGCAUUAUCUGGGUGAACAAGUGCAACCACCAGCAUCUUUUUAAGGAAAAAAGGAAGACAAGAGGAUAGAAAGAGAUGUGACAAAGGAAGCAGAGGUCAGAGUGAACUGGGGCCACCAGCCAAGGAAUGUGGGCAGCUUCCAGAAACUGGAAAAGGCAAGGAAAUGGAUUCUGCCCAAGAGACUCCAGAAGGAACACAGCCCUGCCAACCCAUUUUGGUCCUCGUCGUGGAACCUAUCCUGCUGAUUUGCAGUUCUUAUUCCAUAUAACUAAUCUCUCCUCCACAAUUCCACCCCUCCUCCAGAAGCCAUGAGCUCCUUGUAGAGACUGUGUCAUGUGUAUCUUUGCGGUAGGAAUGGCAGGAGAGUGGUAUUCUGGAAUUUGGGGACAAAGAAUUUAAGAAGGUAGGAGGAGUCAACAUUGUCAAGUACUACAGAAAAGUGAGGCAAGAUAAGGACCGAAAAUAGAUCAUUGGAUUUAAGAGGUCCCUAGUGGCCUUGGGAGAAGAUACUCACAUGCAGACGCCAGAGUGGAAGAUGAUGUAGUGGGCUGAUGAGUGAGUGGGAGUUGAAGAAGUGGAGAUAAUGAGCAUAAACACCUCUUUUAAGAGAUGUGUUGGAGAAGAAGAAGAGAGGACAUUCACCUGAGAGGGAAGAGAAGGAGUUUGUUUUUUAGAACCUCAAAAUCUUGGAGAGGUAUGUACGCCAAAGCGAAGCAGUCAAAGCAGAAGAGACUAAAGAUAUGAGAAUGGGAAGUGACAGGGAGAUGAAGAUCCAAAAGACAGGGAGGAGGAGAGGGAUUCUGGCGUGCGGACCGAGGCAGAAGAGGAAGCGAGGACGGGGGCUCUGGGAGGAAAGAACACUGUGGGAAAAAGCAGAUUAUUUUUCUUUCUUGCAUUUUUCACAUCCCUCUCUCUUCCUGUCUCCACUGAUUAAAAUGAGUGAUGUUGCACAUAAUUCCAAAAAAUGCAUAGACCACCCCCUCCCAAAUCCUGAGACCUUGAUAUCCAUCCACUCGUGAUAACUUAUCCUGUUCUUCCCUUGAACAUUCCGUUCCCUCUUUUUUUUUUUAAGGAAAGCUGCUCUUGCCUUCUAGCCAGAUAUGCUCUCCCCAUUUCCAGCUUCCUGUCCUUUGGGUAUUCUGCAAUAUAAUGAAUGAACAGUCUUGAUCGCCUUGGUUCGGGUGCAUCCCUUCACAUAUUUCUGAAUUACUUGUCACUGGCUCUCCUCUGUGCCCCAGGUUUAAGAUCCUCUGCCACGGUCGCAUUGUAAUAAAUAAUGAUUGUUAGAAGCCAAAUUUUCUCUAGUAUUUGGUGCAGGGAGAAGUAAGGAAGGGAGAGAUGCAGAAGAGAAAGGUUGGGAAGACGGUGUGUGUGCAUGUAUGUUUCAGGCUUGCUGUCUAUUUCCUGCUCUAAUAAUUUGUUAAAUAAAAAAUUGGCUCCAGACUUAAGUCCUAAGUGAACUAGAGUUCACUGUUCUCCAAGCAAAGAAGCAGCUAUUUAUUCACAUUCGUUGUUCUCAAUGCUUAAUCCACGGCAGACUUUACCCUUGGCCCCCAAAUAACACCAUCUUCCUUAAUUAUCUCCUCUGGUCAGAGGCCACUUGGGAAAAGAAUCGCAAAUUGAGCUCAUCCUGCCCAACGGUUACUGUCCUCGUCUGCCACUUACACUGUUAGCAAUGUGCUUGGCAUAUGCUGAGAACGGCUCAAGGGUGGACCCAGCCUCAGCGCCUCCAGACUCGAAACUAGACAGGAUACAAGAGGAGAAAUAAUAAAUAAAUAACGGCAGAGGCAAAAAGAGGUUUCAUUUUAAAUCUCCCAGAGCCCCCACAUCUGGAACACAGGGACCAUGUCUGGUUUUGGAUGUUGUUGAGGUUUGGCCUUCUUUAGCUCGAAUUCCUCUGAGCAAAGCUGAUCCCCCUCUGUCCUUCGUGGUGAGCGAGAGUGUUUCCAUUUCGAUGCUUUGCAUGCAGAUCCAAGCAGCACAUGGGUGGCGGUACUGGAUAAGCGCUAAGUUCCUUUUCGGCCUGAAGAUUCUGUGAUCCCAUUGAGGGGAAAGUGCACCCUUGACAAUUUAUUGGUGGUAAUUUCCUGUGUUCAUUCUGGCUUCCAGUUGAUUCUACUUUUCUGUAUAUUGCUCAAAUCCAUUCACUUUUGUUCUUCUCUGCUGGUUCUUCCUAAAUUCACAUUUCAUUUGCCUGAAUGAUUUGCAAGAUCUCAGCUAUGGACUGAAGGUUUGUAACCUCCCCAAAUUCACAUAUGGAAGCGCUCCCCCCUCAAUGUGAUGGUGUUAGGAGAUGGGGCUUUUGGGAAGCGAUUAGGUUUAGAUGAGGUGUGGAGGGUGAGGGCCCCUGUGGUGGGAUUAGUGCCCGUAGAAGAGGAAGAGAACAGAGCUUUCUCUCUUUCUGCCACGUGAGGACACAGCAAGAAGGUGACCAUCUGCAAGUACGAAGAGGGGCCUCACCAGACACCAAAUCUGCAUCAUGAUCUUGGACUUCCCAGCCUCCAGAACUGAGAGAAAUAAAUAUUUGUUGUUUAAGCCCCGGAGUCUAGGGUAUUUUGAUAGAGCAGCCCGAACUGCCUAGCACUGUCUCCAGCUGCUUCCACUCUUGUUGCAGCCCUCUUACACAUCUCCCCUGUUCCAUCCUGAAGCACAAUGCAGAUAACGCCACACCCCAGCCUGAAAACCCAGAGGGCCCCUCACUGCCUAUGGAGUCAGGCCCACAUCUUUUAACCCAGGUAGCCAUGCUUGACCAGUGGUAAAUUACUCAUCAGCCCCAUUGUUAUUAACACCCAAUGUCAAGACUCUAAGACGCCACCUGGCUGCCAAAAGAAAGUCCUGCCUUUUGCAGUGCCUCCCUCUCUGAAAGUCCUGGAGAUGUCCAAGGUGCUUCUAUUUCCUGCAGGUCAAGCCUAGUUACUGGUCCCUCUGUCGCCCUUUGCACAGCCAAUGCCGGACACUCUUGACACGAAAGGUGAAUGCCAGAGACCUGCAGUGGUCAAGAACGUGAGAGCCAGUGUGUCUCCCAUUUUUUGAGCUUUAACUUAAAAACAUUAAAAACGCCACCGAUGAAACACCAAUGGUUUCCAAGUAGUUAGUAAAGAAAUUGUAUUCAUACCAAAAAAAUAAAAUAAAAAUGCCCUAAAUUGCAAACAGAAGUGGUAUAAUUAAAGUAUAUAUAUUUAAUAAAUUAAUGCUUUUCACACACACAAAAAUCAAUGCAAUAUGAUUGUACUAGUUAUAGGAUAAUUAGAGGUUUUAUAGAGGAAGAAUAAAUCUUUACACUUAUAUAAGAAAGUAUAAGAGUUUAUCUUUGUGUCCUUAGAGCAAGAGGAAUUUCUUAAAUAAGACAAAAAAACGCAAAUCAAGAGGGAAAUAGCCUUACAUUUGGCUAUAAUAAUACUUAAAACUUCUAUGUAAUAAAAAUAUACUUAAACCAAGUUAUGGGCAAGCCACAGACUGGGAGUAGAUAUUCGUAAAGCAUAAUCAACAAAGGAACAAUUUAUAGAAUAUGUAAAGAAUGCAUACAAAUCAAUAAGAAGAAAAAAACAAUCCAAUAGAAAAAAUGGUGAAGUUCCAAAGAGGGAAUUCACAAAAGAGGACAUCUGAGUGGCUAAUAAAUACAUGAAAAGACGUUCAAUCUCAUCAGUAAUCAGGAGAAUGAAAAUUAAAACGAGAUGCUAUUUUAAAGCCACUAGAUUGGCAAGAAUUAAAAGUCCAGCAAAACUAAAUGCUGUAAAAAUGUGGGGGAAUUGGGGCUGUCUUAUGGUGGUAGCAGGAAUGGAAGACAUUAAAACCUUUUUGGAGGGCAAGUGAAUGUUCUCCGGUAAAGUCAAAGAUGUAUAUAUCCUCUGACUCAUUAAUUCCUCUUCCAGGAGAAUGUGCACAAAGAGACACAUACAAGGAUAGUUGUCAUAGCUAAAAAUGGGAAAUCAUUUAAAUUUCCAUCAAUACAGGAGUGGGAAAAUGUUGCAUAUUCAUAUCAUGGAAUACUAUAUAGCAGUUAAAAUGACUUAAAAACCCUCUAAAUAUAUCAACAUGAAGGAAUCUUAAAAUGUAACGUUAAUGGAGUUAUUGUUAAACAGGUAUGAAGUUUCAUUCCAGGAAGAUGAAAAAGUUUGGGACAGGGCUGGUGGUGAUGGUCACACAAGGUGAAUGUGGUUAAUGCCAUUGAACUGUAUACUUAGAAAUGGUUAAAAUGGUAAAUUUUAUGUUAUGUAUAUUUUACCACAUUAAAAAAGAAAAUCAUAAUGAACAGAAAAAGUGCACCGUGAAAUGCAUUAGGUGGCACAUUCAUGACAUUUAAAGACUUUAGAUAAUACUACUACAUACUUAUGGAAUCUGCAUGUAUAUGAUAAAUAUAUAAAGACGAAGAUGAGAAGGAGUCUCAGAUGCAAGACAUUGACUUCUGGGAACGAGAGGAGGAAAGUCUGACUUGGUGGCUAUGCUUGAAUUCUAUCUGUGAC